AUUGAACGCUGGCGGCAUGCCUAACACAUGCAAGUCGAGCGGAGCGGCUGACGGGUGAGUAAUUCCUAGGAAUCUGCCUGUUAGUUGGGGAUAACGUCCGGAAACGGGCGCUAAUCCCGCAUCCUAUCAGCUACACCUAGGUCGGAUUAGCUAGUUGGUGGGGUAAAGGCCUACCAAGGCGACGAUCCGUAACUGGUCUGAGAGGAUGAUCAGUCGCACUGGAACUGAGACACGGUCCAGACGCCGAGGGGAGGCAGCAGUGGGGAAGAUUGGACAAUGGGCGAAAGCCUGAUCAAGCCAUGCCGAGUGUGUGAAGAAGGUCUUCGGAUUGUAAAGCGCUUUAAGUUGGGAGGCGGUACCAACAGAAGAAGCACCGGCUAACUACGUGCCAGCAGCCGCGGUAAUUC
rnacentral:rRNA from 1 species